AACGAACGCUGGCGGCAUGCCUAACACAUGCAAGUCGAACGAGACCUUCGGGUCUAGUGGCGCACGGGUGCGUAACGCGUGGGAACCUGCCCUUAGGUUCGGAAUAACUCCCCGAAAGGGGUGCUAAUACCGGAUAAUGUCUUCGGACCAAAGAUUUAUCGCCUUUGGAUGGGCCCGCGUUGGAUUAGCUAGUUGGUAGGGUAAAAGCCUACCAAGGCGACGAUCCAUAGCUGGUCUGAGAGGAUGAUCAGCCACACUGGGACUGAGACACGGCCCAGACUCCUACGGGAGGCAGCAGUGGGGAAUAUUGGACAAUGGGCGAAAGCCUGAUCCAGCAAUGCCGCGUGAGUGAUGAGGGCCUUAGGGUUGUAAAGCUCUUUUACCCGGGAUGAUAAUGACAGUACCGGGAGAAUAAGCUCCGGCUAACUCCGUG
rnacentral:rRNA from 1 species